rnacentral:rRNA from 1 species
UACGUAGGGCGCGAGCGUUGUCCGGAAUUAUUGGGCGUAAAGAGCUCGUAGGCGGCCUGUUGCGUCCGCUGUGAAAUCCCAGGGCUCAACCCUGGGCGUGCAGUGGAUACGGGCAGGCUGGAGGCAGGCAGGGGAGAACGGAAUUCCCGGUGUAGCGGUGAAAUGCGCAGAUAUCAGGAGGAACACCGGUGGCGAAGGCGGUUCGCUGGGCCGAUACUGACGCUGAUGAGCGAAAGCGUGGGGAGCGAACAGG